ACCAAGUUUAAACCGCUUAAGCAGGGUUUUAAAGGCCUAUUACUUUAGGCUACCCUAUCUUAGCGAGUCUUAGCUUUGGG
rfam:Thermanaeromonas toyohensis ToBE genome assembly, chromosome: I